UAUUCAAAGUAUCACAAUAUUAUAGAAUCAUUGUUUAUUACUUAUUAAAAUUGGAAUGAUUGAUCAGAAAGAACUAGACCGUUUCAUAUAGCUUGUUGUAUUUUUCUGUUUAGCAUAUCAGCGUGGUUUUUACGCCACUUUAUUACUUCGGAUGUGUUGUACAAAAACUACAAUCGGCGUUUUUUUCAUUCACUUAUCGACCGAACUAAAUUUAACCGUGCAAUUUGAAGUUUGUAAUUUUCGACUCCAACAACUCUACUGCUGGACACAGACAUUGUUUUGCAUUGCAAUUUGUUGCAAUUUAGUUGUUAUACACUUCAACGCAAAAAGUGAUUUAUUCGACUUAAAAAUCUUUCUGCCGAGUACAUUAUACAAUAUACAAUACAAUACACAAAGUAUGAAAAUCCAUUAAUUCCAUAUUACGAGUAUAUAAUCGUAUAAACGACGCAACAUAACACGGAACUACAGAAGAAAGUAAAUUCGAAUUAACUGCAAUAUGAAAUAUAUUGUAAUAUACUUUCACUGUCGAAUUUACACUAUGAAUUCCAUGAACCUAAUCUGUUUUCUUUGCCUAAACUUGAAUUCUCACUGUUAAAAUGAUGAUGAAGAUGAUGACGCACUUUUUUAUACGAAAGUGUUGUACCGGGUCUUAUUUAUACUGUUUAUUUUUUUGCUUAACGUAAUAAAAAUUAAUACUCCACCAGAUUUCAGUAAUAAUGAGAUAAAUAGUGCACUGUAAAUAAGUAUU